rnacentral:rRNA from 1 species
AAGCGGUGGAGCAUGUGGUUAAUUCGAAGCAACGCGAAGAACCUUACCAGGUCUUGACAUCCCUGACAACCCGAGAGAUCGGGCGUUCCCCUUCGGGGGACAGGGUGACAGGUGGUGCAUGGUUGUCGUCAGCUCGUGUCGUGAGAUGUUGGGUUAAGUCCCGCAACGAGCGCAACCCCUACGUUUAGUUGCUAACGCGUGAAGGCGAGCACUCUAGACGAACUGCCGUUGACAAAACGGAGGAAGGUGGGAUGACGUCAAAUCAUCAUGCCCCUUAUGUUCUGGGCUACACACGUGCUACAAUGGCCGGUACAGACGGACGCAAAGCCGCGAGGUGGAGCAAAUCCUAAAAAGCCGGUCUCAGUUCGGAUUGCAGGCUGCAAUUCGCCUGCAUGAAGUCGGAAUCGCUAGUAAUCGCAGGUCAGCAUACUGCGGUGAAUACGUUCCCGGGCCUU